rnacentral:rRNA from 1 species
CGGACGGGUGAGUAACGCGUGAGAAUCUGCCCUCAGGAGGGGGAUAACGGUUGGAAACGACCGCUAAUACCCCAUAUGCCUAUUGGUGAAAUGAAUUUCGCCUGAGGAUGAGCUCGCGUCUGAUUAGCUAGUUGGUGAGGUAAUGGCUCACCAAGGCUUCGAUCAGUAGCUGGUCUGAGAGGAUGAUCAGCCACACUGGGACUGAGACACGGCCCAGACUCCUACGGGAGGCAGCAGUGGGGAAUUUUCCGCAAUGGGCGAAAGCCUGACGGAGCAACGCCGCGUGAGGGACGAAGGCCUCUGGGCUGUAAACCUCUUUUCUCAAGGAAGAAGAUAUGACGGUACUUGAGGAAUAAGCCACGGCUAAUUCCGUGCCAGCAGCCGCGGUAAUACGGGAGUGGCAAGCGUUAUCCGGAAUUAUUGGGCGUAAAGCGUCCGCAGGCGGCUUUUCAAGUCUGCUGUUAAAGCGUGGAGCUUAACUCCAUCAUGGCAGUGGAAACUGAAAGGCUUGAGUAUGGUAGGGGCAGAGGAAUUCCCGGUGUAGCGAUGAAAUGCGUAGAUAUCGGGAAGAACACCAGUGGCGAAGGCGCUCUGCUGGGCCAUUACUGACGCUCAUGGACGAAAGCCAGGGGAGCGAAUGGGAUUAGAUACCCCAGUAGUC